rnacentral:rRNA from 1 species
UCGUGUCGUGAGAUGUUGGGUUAAGUCCCGCAACGAGCGCAACCCUCACCCCUUGUUGCCAUCAGGUGAAGCUGGGCACUCUAGGGGAACUGCCCCGGUCAACGGGGAGGAAGGUGGGGAUGACGUCAAGUCAUCAUGCCCCUUACGCCCUGGGCUACACACGUGCUACAAUGGCCGGUACAAAGGGAUGCAAUACCGCGAGGUGGAGCUAAACCCAGAAAGCCGGUCUAAGUUCAGAUUGGUGUCUGCAACUCGACUCCAUGAAGGAGGAAUCGCUAGUAAUCGC